rnacentral:tRNA from 1 species
AGGGGUGUAGUUUAAUUGGUAGAAUAUUGGUCUCCAAAACCAAUGGUUGGGGGUUCAAUUCCCUCCACCCCUG